UUUUAUUAUAAAAUAAUAAUAAUGUCUGUACACUUAUGUUUCAGGUAUAAAUUUUAUAUUCUAGCCUUCUUGUAGCCAGAAUUAUAGUCCCACAAUAGACUUUGGUGCUCAUAAGUUUUUUACUAUUAAAUUUAUUUCUUUAAUCAAUUUCACUAGUAAAAUUAUACUAUUUCACCGACCACUCACUCAACUUUACAUAACAAUUAUUUUUUUGCCCCCAUAAAUUCUUAUCCAAAAGUCAAAAAUCUAUAAGCAUUAUUAACUCGUAGCUUUUAAAAGAGCUCAAUUCCUGAAAUUAACUCAAAGUUGUAAAUAUGUAAGGCUUCUUUUGGGAUUGCAAGGAUAUUGUGUUACGUGUGGUGAGAAAAUACAAAAAAUAUUCUAUUUAUUUUCGUACGUAAUAUUAUAUUUUAUAUUAUAAUGAGUCGAUUAUUGUAUAUUUUAUGAUCCCACUACAGAAACAUAUCCCUAUAUAUAUUUUUUCUAACAUUAUUUUAUCUAAUAACGUAAUUUUAAAAGUCUACGAU
rnacentral:lncRNA from 1 species